rnacentral:lncRNA from 1 species
GAUAGGUCAUAUACUGUGCUGCAACUCUAUAUAUAAACAAUCAUGUAAGGGUUUAGAUGAUAACAAUGAAAUCAGACUCUUUCAAAAAAUUGUAAAACGAAAUCCCAAGUUUCCAAUGACGUCAAGUUGAAAUUACAAAAUUUAAACUUAAGCUUUGAUUGCAAAAGUAAAACUUGUUAUGGCACAAUAGUAUAGGUAUAGUCAUUGAAGAAGGUGGCUUUUGGGUAAAUAACUAGAUGCAUGCGGUACUCCUGCAUUUUGAACAAAUUUAUACAGAGCAAAAGCUUUCAAAUAGGAAACACUUCUUCACCCAAUGAAAACUGGAAAGACAAAGAAAAUAGAACACGCCUUUCCUGCACAUUGUUUUCCCCACCAAAUGAUUGGUACUUUGACUGUAAUAACAAUAAAAAGACAUGCUCUUAGAUCCAGUGUUUAAAUGUUUUAGCCAUGUAUAUUAGUUCAAAAUACUUCAUUCAUACUAAAUAACAUGAUAGCAAGAAGGUUACAAAAGGAAAGCAAGAAAUGGCAAUGUCUUUUCGGUUUAGACUAGCUGCAAUGAUGUACUGUCUAUAUGAGAGAACCUGCAGAGCAAUUAUCUAUCUUGCUCAACUGUUACAAAUGUGCUUUAGAGGUUAUCAUAUAGUUUCACCAACAUCCAGCCUAAGCAAUUGCAAAAAAUAAAAGAAUUAAUGAAUUCCUGAACAUACGCACACACACACACAGCCAAAAUACUAUAGCUUAUUUAUUGAAAUUAAUCCACUAUGCCAAAUUAUGAUCAAUGGAAAAUUCAAAAUUUUAUUUUUUGUAAUAUAAAAAGGAAAAAUCACUGAAAGCAAUUUACCAUAUG